UGGGGAAUAUUGCACAAUGGGCGCAAGCCUGAUGCAGCCAUGCCGCGUGUGUGAAGAAGGCCUUCGGGUUGUAAAGCACUUUCAGCGGGGAGGAAGGCGGUGAGGUUAAUAACCUCACCGAUUGACGUUACCCGCAGAAGAAGCACCGGCUAACUCCGUGCCAGCAGCCGCGGUAAUACGGAGGGUGCAAGCGUUAAUCGGAAUUACUGGGCGUAAAGCGCACGCAGGCGGUCUGUCAAGUCGGAUGUGAAAUCCCCGGGCUCAACCUGGGAACUGCAUUCGAAACUGGCAGGCUAGAGUCUUGUAGAGGGGGGUAGAAUUCCAGGUGUAGCGGUGAAAUGCGUAGAGAUCUGGAGGAAUACCGGUGGCGAAGGCGGCCCCCUAGACGAAGACUGACGCUCAGGUGCGAAAGCGUGGGGAGCAAACAGG
rnacentral:rRNA from 1 species